AUUGAACGCUGGCGGAAUGCUUUACACAUGCAAGUCGAACGGCAGCACGGGGCAACCUGGUGGCGAGUGGCGAACGGGUGAGUAAUAUAUCGGAACGUACCUUUCAGUGGGGGGAUAACGCAGCGAAAGUUGCGCUAAUACCGCAUAUUCUGUGAGCAGGAAAGCAGGGGGAUCGCAAGACCUUGCGCUGAUUGAGCGGCCGAUAUCAGAUUAGCUAGUUGGUGAGGUAAAGGCUCACCAAGGCGACGAUCUGUAGCGGGUCUGAGAGGAUGAUCCGCCACACUGGAACUGAGACACGGUCCAGACCUCCUACGGGUGGCUG
rnacentral:rRNA from 1 species